UACGUAGGGUACAAGCAUUAAUCGGAAUUAUUGGGCGUAAAGGGCGCGUAGGCGGGGAUGUAAGUCAGGUGUGAAAUACCAAAGCUCAACUUUGGUGCUGCAUUUGAAACUGCAUUUCUUGAGGACUGACGGAGAAAGCGGGAUUCCAUGAGUAGCGGUGAAAUGCGUAGAUACAUGGAGGAACACCGGUGGCGAAAGCGGCUUUCUAGUUUUUACCUGACGCUGAGGCGCGAGAGCAAGGGGAGCAAACAGG
rnacentral:rRNA from 1 species